GGAGGGUGCGAGCGUUAAUCGGAAUUACUGGGCGUAAAGCGCGCGUAGGCGGCUAGGUCAGUCGGAUGUGAAAGCCCCGGGCUUAACCUGGGAAUUGCAUUCGAAACUGCCUGGCUAGAGUAUGGGAGAGGGAAGCGGAAUUUCCGGUGUAGCGGUGAAAUGCGUAGAUAUCGGAAGGAACACCAGUGGCGAAGGCGGCUUCCUGGCCCAAAUACUGACGCUCAGGUGCGAAAGCGUGGGUAGCGAACAGGAUUAGAUACCCUGGUAGUCCACGCCGUAAACGAUGAGAACUAGAUGUCGGGAGGAUUGACCUUUGGUGUCGCAGCUAACGCAUUAAGUUCUCCGCCUGGGGGAGUACGCCGGCAACGGUA
rnacentral:rRNA from 1 species